rnacentral:misc_RNA from 1 species
CUGAAUGGCUUCGGCCUUCAACCUUCAAACCUGUGGAAGCAAACCGUGCUUCGGGGCUCCGGCCCCGCAUCUAUGCCUCAAAGCGUUUGUCUGAACUAAAAGCAAGAAUUA